UAGAGAUUUCCUCAUCCCCUCUUCUCAUAUUAAACCAGCUUCUCCUUCAAACUAUCUUAUCUCUCUACUUUUGAGUUAUCAGUUGUAGCUUGUUGGUUACUUGUAAGAUGCUGCCACUAUACUUGAAGCUUCAUGUGAUUGUCUGGUGAUUGGUCUGGAAACUAUAGGGAGUCCAAGAUCGUCACAAGGAUAUCAAGGGAAGCCAGCUAAACAGGUAGCCUUGCACUGGAAGAAGCUCUGAUUUGGGCUGAGGAUGGAUAUCAAGGCAAGUCGGCUAACUUGCACAAGGAGAAAAUCACUUUCAUCAGGGGAAAGAAGACCAGCGUUCACUGGCACUCUGGCAGAGGGGCAAACAAUCUUGGAAGAUCUUUUAAUUUCUGGUCAAAACUAUUUAGUUUCAAGUUCAGUAACUUUUUAAUCUGAAAUCAGUAACUUUUUAAUCUGAAAAAAUGUGAGGCAAACCAGGUUGCUGCUGUAUUGGCCUCUCAAGCUCAAUGCAACAUCAUCCUGUCAAUUUGCCACUUUUUUGAUUAGGCAAAUCUCUCUUUUGAUGCCAGAAACAAUAAUAUACAUUGUGCUCAGGCCACAUUGCUAUUACAUUGAC